AUUGAACGCUGGCGGCAGGCCUAACACAUGCAAGUCGAGCGAGCGGCGGACGGGUGAGUGAUGUAUGGGGACUUCCCGAUAGAGGGGGAUAACUACUGGACACGGUUGCUAAUACAGCAUACUGUCGGAUAACCCAUAUGGGAUUAGCUAGUAGGGGGGGGAAAGUCUCACUUAGCCGACGAUCUCUACCUGGUCUGAGAGGCGGAUCAGCCACACUGGGACUUCGACACGGCCCAGACUCCUACGGAGGCAGCAGUGGGGAAUAUUGCACAAUGGGCGCAAGCCUGAUGCAGCCAUGCCGCGUGUAUGAAGAAGGCCUUAGGGUUGUAAAGUACUUUCAGCGGGGAGGCGUUACCCGCAGAAGAAGCACCGGCUAACUCCGUGCCAGCAGCCGCGGUAAUAC
rnacentral:rRNA from 1 species